UACCAGCACCCCGAGUGGUCGGGACGAUUAUUGGGCCUAAAGCAUCCGUAGCCGGUCCUACAAGUCUUCCGUUAAAUCCACCUGCUUAACAGAUGGGCUGCGGAAGAUACUAUAGGGCUAGGAGGCGGGAGAGGCAAGCGGUACUCAGUGGGUAGGGGUAAAAUCCUCUGAUCCAUUGAAGACCACCAGUGGCGAAGGCGGCUUACCAGAACGCGCUCGACGGUGAGGGAUGAAAGCUGGGGGAGCAAACCGG
rnacentral:rRNA from 1 species